CUGAAACCCUAAACAUAUCUUCCCUUCCCUUUCCCUUAUCGACGCCUCCCUCUCCUCUGUACUCUCACUGUGGACCAUCUCCUCCCAGCUCCGCCGCUCUUCCGCUCUUCCGCUUCGUCUUCUUCCUUCCCAGUGACCUGCGACCUGUCUCACACAUCUCUCGCCGACGCGACGCCGUCUCACUCUCGGUAUCUCACCCCCCCUGACCCGUGACUUGUGACCCGCGCACGACCCACGGCUUCCUCUCGCCGUUUCGAGUCUCGACCAACAAAUUCCCUCCUUUGCAAGAUGAAGUCAAGUGCAUCAAAGGCCUCGAGCUCAAGCUCAAACUCAAUGAGAUCAUCAAAUAGCUCCCGUGAAAAAAUAAACUCAUCUACGUCUACUCCAUCGCAAGGCAUUGUUGGUGAAUCAACUCUACCUCAACUCCCCAUGAAAUGGCAAGGGGAAGCUCAAAGAAAGGUGCUAUGUUGCCUCCUAGGCCGCCUAUGCGUUGAGCUUGAGCUUGAAGACUUGGAAGAUUUUAUUUGUGCAAGACAUGAAGUGAUGAAACCUUGAAGGUUUAUUUGACUUGUGUGAUGUUUAAAUUUGGACUUUUUGAAGACUUAAACUUUGAUGUUUAAUUUGGACUUUUUGAAGACUUAAACUUGAUUGAUGAUUGAUUCUAUUUCUAGUUGGACUUUAAGUUUUAUGAGACUUUUAGUUUUAUGA